UGACGCUCAUGCACGAAAGCGUGGGUAUCGAACAGGAUUAGAUACCCUGGUAGUCCACGCGGUAAACGAUGAUAACUAGUUAUUCGGCUAAAUUGGUAGUUGAGUGACCGAGCGAAAGCGUUAAGUUAUCCACCUGGGGAGUACGCCGGCAACGGUGAAACUCAAAGGAAUUGACGGGGGCCCGCACAAGCGGAGGAACAUGUGGUUUAAUUCGAUGAUACGCGAGGAACCUUACCCGGGCUCAAACGCAUCGUGCUACGCCCUGAAAGGGGCGGUUCUUCGGACGCGAUGCGAGGUGCUGCAUGGUUGUCGUCAGCUCGUGCCGUGAGGUGUCGGCUUAAGUGCCAUAACGAGCGCAACCCCCAUCUUCAGUUGCCCCCGGGUGAAGCCGGGCACUCUGGAGAGACUGCCGGCGCAAGCUGUGAGGAAGGCGGGGAUGACGUCAAAUCAGCACGGCCCUUACGUCCGGGGCGACACACGUGUUACAAUGGCGGGGUCACAGAGGGGAGCCAGUCGGUGAUGGCGAGCUGAUCCCGAAAACCCGUCUCAGUUCGGAUCGGAGUCUGCAACCCGACUCCGUGAAGCUGGAUUCGCUAGUAA
rnacentral:rRNA from 1 species